rnacentral:rRNA from 1 species
CCUACGGGUGGCAGCAGUGGGGAAUAUUGGGCAAUGGAGGCAACUCUGACCCAGCAACGCCGCGUGAAUGAUGAAGGUCUUCGGAUUGUAAAGUUCUUUUCUAAGGGACGAAGAAAGUGACGGUACCUUAGGAAUAAGCCUCGGCUAACUACGUGCCAGCAGCCGCGGUAAUACGUAGGAGGCAAGCGUUAUCCGGAAUGACUGGGCGUAAAGGGGGCGUAGGUGGUUUGACAAGUUAGUAGCGCAACUCCGGGGCUCAACUUCGGAACUACUACUAAAACUGUUGGACUUGAGUGCAGGGGGGGCAAUCGGAAUUCCUAGUGUAGCGGUGGAAUGCGUAGAUAUUAGGAGGAACACCAGUGGCGAAGGCGGAUUGCUAGACUGUAACUGACACUGAGGCACGAAAGCGUGGGGAGCAAACAGGAUUAGAUACCCGAGUAGUC